rnacentral:rRNA from 1 species
CGAUAAGGGAACCCCCAGUGCCAGCAUCAAAUGUUGGCUGUCCAGAUGAUUAAAAAUCAUUUGUUAGCAAGGGCCGGGCAAGACCGGUGCCAACCGCCGCGGUAACACCGGCGUCCCGAGUGGUAGCCGUUUUUAUUGGGUCUAAAGGGUCCGUAGCCGGCUUGAUAAGUCCUUUGGGAAAUCUGGCAGCUUAACUGUCAGGCUUUUAAGGGAUACUGUCAGGCUUGGGACCGGAAGAGGUAAGGGGUACUCCAGGGGUAGGAGUGAAAUCUUGUAAUCCCUGGGGGACCAUCUGUGGCGAAGGCGCCUUACCAGAACGGGUCCGACGGUGAGGGACGAAAGCUAGGGGAGCAAACCGGAUUAGAUACCCGGGUAGUCCUAGCUGUAAACGAUGCUCGCUAGGUGUCAGACACGGUGCGACCGUGUUUGGUGCCGCAGGGAAGCCGUAAGCAG